rnacentral:rRNA from 1 species
GACGAACGCUGGCGGCGUGCCUAAUACAUGCAAGUAGGACGCAGUUGCGAACGGGUGAGUAACGCGUAGGUAACUACCUAUUAGAGGGGGAUAACUAUUGGAAACGAUAGCUAAUACCGCAUACUAGUAGAUGGACCUGCGUUGUAUUAGCUAGUAGGUAGGGUAAUGGCCUACCUAGGCAACGAUACAUAGCCGACCUGGGAGGGGGAUCGGGCACACUGGGACGGGGACAAGGCCCCGAAUUCUACGGGAGGCAACAGGAGGGGAUCUUCGGAAAUGGGGGGAACCCUUACCGCGCAAAGGCGGGGGAGUGAAGAAGGUUUUCGGGUUGGAAAUCGCUGUUGUUAAGGAAGCGGUACUUAACCAGAAAGGGACGGCUAACUACGUGCCAGCAGCCGCGGUAAUAC